rnacentral:rRNA from 1 species
AAAUUGAAGAGUUUGAUCAUGGCUCAGAUUGAACGCUGGCGGCAGGCCUAACACAUGCAAGUCGAGCGGUAGCACAGAGGAGCUUGCUCCUUGGGUGACGAGCGGCGGACGGGUGAGUAAUGUCUGGGAAACUGCCUGAUGGAGGGGGAUAACUACUGGAAACGGUAGCUAAUACCGCAUAACCUCGCAAGAGCAAAGAGGGGGACCUUCGGGCCUCUCGCCAUCAGAUGUGCCCAGAUGGGAUUAGCUAGUAGGUGAGGUAAUGGCUCACCUAGGCGACGAUCCCUAGCUGGUCUGAGAGGAUGACCAGCCACACUGGAACUGAGACACGGUCCAGACUCCUACGGGAGGCAGCAGUGGGGAAUAUUGCACAAUGGGCGCAAGCCUGAUGCAGCCAUGCCGCGUGUGUGAAGAAGGCCUUCGGGUUGUAAAGCACUUUCAGCGGGGAGGAAGGCG